AGAGUUUGAUCCUGGCUCAGAAUCAACGCUGGCGGCGUGCCUCAGACAUGCAAGUCGAACGAUUAAACUCUCCUUCGGGAGAGAUAUAAAGUGGCGCACGGGUGAGUAACACGUAGGUAAUCUACCUUUGAGUGGGGAAUAACAAUCGGAAACGAUUGCUAAUACCGCAUAAUGCAGCGGCAUCGCAAGAUGACAGUUGUUAAAGGAGCAAUCCGCUUAAAGAGGAGCCUGCGGCAGAUUAGCUAGUUGGUAAGGUAAUGGCUUACCAAGGCUACGAUCUGUAACCGACCUGAGAGGGUGGUCGGUCACACUGACACUGAAUAACGGGUCAGACUCCUACGGGAGGCAGCAGUCGGGAAUUUUGGGCAAUGGGCGAAAGCCUGACCCAGCAACGCCGCGUGAAGGAUGAAGUUUUUCGGAAUGUAAACUUCGUAAGAAUAGGAAGAAUAAAU
rnacentral:rRNA from 1 species